rnacentral:rRNA from 1 species
AAGCGGUGGAUCAUGUUGUUAAUUCGACGAUACGCGAAGAACCUUACCAGGUCUUGACCAUCCCCUGCAAAGCUAUGGAGACAUAGUGGAGGUUAUCAGGGAGACAGGUGGUGCAUGGUUGUCGUCAGCUCGUGUCGUGAGAUGUUGGGUUAAGUCCCGCAACGAGCGCAACCCUUAUUGCUAGUUACCAUCAUUAAGUUGGGGACUCUAGCGAGACUGCCAGUGAUAAACUGGAGGAAGGUGGGGAUGACGUCAAAUCAUCAUGCCCCUUAUGACCUGGGCUACAAACGUGAUACAAUGGCUGAAACAAAGGGCAGCGAAGGAGCGAUCUGGAGCGAAACCCAAAAAAGCAGUCUCAGUUCGGAUUGAAGUCUGCAACUCGACUUCAUGAAGUCGGAAUCGCUAGUAAUCGCGGAUCAGAACGCCGCGGUGAAUACGUUCUCGGGGUUU